rnacentral:rRNA from 1 species
UACGGGGGGGGCAAGCGUUAAUCGGAAUUACUGGGCGUAAAGCGUGCGUAGACGGUUAUGUAAGUCAGAUGUGAAAGCCCAGGGCUCAACCUUGGAAUUGCAUUUGAGACUGCAUAGCUAGGGUGCGGAAGAGGGAAGCGGAAUUUCCGGUGUAGCGGUGAAAUGCGUAGAUAUCGGAAGGAACACCAGUGGCGAAAGCGGCUUCCUGGUCCAGCACAGACGUUCAGGCACGAAAGCGUGGGGAGCAAACAGG